GGGGAGUACGGUCGCAAGACUGAAACUCAAAAGGAAUUGACGGGGGCCCGCACAAGCGGUGGAGCAUGUGGUUUAAUUUCGAAGCAACGCGAAAGAACCUUACCAGGUCUUGACAUCCUCUGACAACCCUAGAGAUAGGGCUUUUCCUUCGGGGACAGAGUGACAGGUGGUGCAUGGUUGUCGUCAGCUCGUGUCGUGAGAUGUUGGGUUAAGUCCCGCAACGAGCGCAACCCUUGAUCUUAGUUGCCAGCAUUUAGUUGGGCACUCUAAGGUGACUGCCGGUGACAAACCGGAGGAAGGUGGGGAUGACGUCAAAUCAUCAUGCCCCUUAUGACCUGGGCUACACACGUGCUACAAUGGACAGAACAAAGGGCUGCGAGACCGCAAGGUUUAGCCAAUCCCAUAAAUCUGUUCUCAGUUCGGAUCGCAGUCUGCAACUCGACUGCGUGAAGCUGGAAUCGCUAGUAAUCGCGGAUCAGCAUGCCGCGGUGAAUACGUUCCCGGGCCUUGUACACACCGCCCGUCACACCACGAGAGUUUGUAACACCCGAAGUCGGUGAGGUAACCUUUAUGGAG
rnacentral:rRNA from 1 species